AGAGUUUGAUCCUGGCUCAGGACGAACGCUGGCGGCGUGCUUAACACAUGCAAGUCGAACGGAAAGGCCCUUCGGGGUACUCGAGUGGCGAACGGGUGAGUAACACGUGGGUGAUCUGCCCUGCACUUUGGGAUAAGCCUGGGAAACUGGGUCUAAUACCGAAUAGGACCGCAUGCUUCAUGGUGUGUGGUGGAAAGCUUUUGCGGUGUGGGAUGGGCCCGCGGCCUAUCAGCUUGUUGGUGGGGUAAUGGCCUACCAAGGCGACGACGGGUAGCCGGCCUGAGAGGGUGUCCGGCCACACUGGGACUGAGAUACGGCCCAGACUCCUACGGGAGGCAGCAGUGGGGAAUAUUGCACAAUGGGCGCAAGCCUGAUGCAGCGACGCCGCGUGGGGGAUGACGGCCUUCGGGUUGUAAACCUCUUUCAGUAUCGGCGAAGCUCCAGGAUUUUUCUUGGGGUGACGGUAGGUACAGAAGAAGCACCGGCCAACUACGUGCCAGCAGCCGCGGUAAUACGUAGGGUGCGAGCGUUGUCCGGAAUUACUGGGCGUAAAGAGCUCGUAGGUGGUUUGUCACGUUGUCCGUGAAAACUCACAGCUUAACUGUGGGCGUGCGGGCGAUACGGGCAGACUGGAGUACUGUAGGGGAGACUGGAAUUUCUGGUGUAGCGGUGGAAUGCGCAGAUAUCAGGAGGAACACCGGUGGCGAAGGCGGGUCUCUGGGCAGUAACUGACGCUGAGGAGCGAAAGCGUGGGGAGCGAACAGGAUUAGAUACCCUGGUAGUCCAA
rnacentral:rRNA from 1 species